GGGGAUGUAGCUCAGAUGGUAGAGCGCUCGCUUAGCAUGCGAGUGGUAUGGGGAUCGAUACCUCGCAUUUCCA
rnacentral:tRNA from 1 species